AACGUAGGAGACAAACGUUAUCCGGAGUUACUGGGCGUAAAGGGCGUGUAGGUGGUUAUGUAAGUCUGGCGUGAAAUUUUUCGGCUUAACCGGGAAAGGUCGUCGGAGACUGCAUAACUAGAGGACGGUAGAGGCGUGUGGAAUUCCGGGUGUAGUGGUGAAAUGCGUAGAGAUCCGGAGGAACACCAGUGGCGAAGGCGACACGCUGGGCCGUACCUGACACUGAGGCGCGAUAGCAUGGGGAGCAAACAGG
rnacentral:rRNA from 1 species